UGUGGAACACUUGUAAACUGGCCUUUCCCCUUUAAGUGUAAAGAGGCGAAUAAGAUCAUUAGUGAGUUGGUGUGUAUAUAUUUAAGCGGACACGGAGCGAUUUUUAUCGGAAUCGUACCUGAUAAGCUACUAGCGGAAGUAGCCGCUAGCCACCACAGCUACUUAGCGGUGACCGCCGCGUGUAUCAGUAAACUAAAGUACAGCCCUCGAUUUAACUUUAAUAAGGUUGGUGUGGUAUUCUGACAUGUGUUUUGUGUUUUAUUGUUAUUGUUGGGAGAGUAAUGCUGAAUGCAAGGGGAGCUUUAAUGUUACUGUUAAACCCCACAUUUAACCAGCAUUGUUUGAGUGAGUUUAUUCACUAUGUUCUUCACGAUGUAAUCAGUUUCACUAUAGGGUUUUGCCGGCAGACAUACAGCUAUUCUACAGGCGAGUGCUUGUAGUGAGCAUGGUUAUCCAAAUACGUCUAAAUGUAAUCACACAUGUUAACAUGGUUUAUUCCCCUCAGAAAUACUGCAAUGAGGAUGUGUAAGACAGACGAAGAUUGUAUUUUUCUAUGUGAAUGAGGGAUAUUUAAAGACACCUGUGAGUGAGGCGUUUAAGUUUACAUGUUGCCGUUAUGCUUGAUGAGAACACAUCCUGUAUCUGAAACGGAGAGUUACAAAGGUCAUAUAAAAACCUGGACAUGAUUACAGUGAAUGAGAAAAAUGUUAUUGUAAUAAUUCAUGAAUGUGAAGAUUUGUAAUAAAAGUCAAAGUUUGAGAGAGGAAAUGGAUGUUCGCUUCUUCACUCACGGACAUUAUUAAUCCAUGUUUCAGGUUCCUGACCAGUUUCCAUCCAGCCUCCAGUCCUCAGUUACGUCUGGAUUAAAUAUACUCCACACCUCUGGAUCAAAGUAUUCUCUGGUGAUUUCUGGCUGGGUCCUCUGAAAUUUCAAGAUUCAAGUUUUAAGUUCCCUUCUUGAAACUACCUUCUGGCUGGCAGCUUCCAGGCUCAAUGACGAACUGGCCCAAGUCAUCAGCAAACCUUGUUCACUCUUAAACGUGCUCUCAGGCAAGCUUUUUCACCAGUUCUCCUCUCCAUCAUCCUGCCCUUCAUGGAUGGUAAAGAAACCAAGCUCCCAGAAACGUCUUCGUGCCUCAAAGACCACUCCUCUUGGAUGAACUUAUCUCACCAAGGCUACUCCUGUGUUGAGCUCCCAGACUCCACAUUUCCAUUCCCCCUGGCGGUUCUAUUCCUCUCCCCUGUAAGAAAGAUAUUAGCAAACAAUAUUUAAGUACCUCAUUAUUCUAUACUCACCUGUUUCCCUCCUCUGUGCAGCUGGCGGGUUCCCGAUUCCAGAUCCUAGAACUAUUCCUCUGUGUAAAAAUAAAAACAUCUUAAAAUCUC